UACGAAGGGGGCUAGCGUUGUUCGGAAUUACUGGGCGUAAAGCGCACGUAGGCGGCCUACUAAGUCAGGGGUGAAAUCCCGGGGCUCAACCCCGGAACUGCCUUUGAUACUGGUAGUCUCGAGUCCGGAAGAGGUGAGUGGAAUUCCGAGUGUAGAGGUGAAAUUCGUAGAUAUUCGGAGGAACACCAGUGGCGAAGGCGGCUCACUGGUCCGGUACUGACGCUGAGGUGCGAAAGCGUGGGGAGCAAACAGG
rnacentral:rRNA from 1 species